GAUGAAGAACGUAGCGAAAUGCGAUACGUAAUGUGAAUUGCAGAAUUCAGUGAAUCAUCGAAUCUUUGAACGCAUAUUGCGCUCUCUGGUAUUCCGGAGAGCAUGCUUGUUUGAGUAUCAGUAAACACCUCAACUCCCUUUUCUUUUUUGAAAUUAGAGCUGGACUUGAGUGAUCCCAACGCUUUCUUCCAAGAAAGUGGCGGGUUGCUUGAAAUGCAGGUGCAGCUGAACUUUUCUCUGAGCUAUAAGCAUAUCUAUUUAGUCUGCCUAAAAAACAGAUUAUUACCUUUGCUGCAGCUAACAUAAAGGAGACUAGUUCUUGUGCUGACUGAUGCAGGAUUCACAGAGACAGCUUCGGCUGACUUUGUAAACUCGAUCUCAAAUCAAGUAAGACUACCCGCUGAACUUAAGCAUAUCAAUAAGCGGAGGA
rnacentral:misc_RNA from 1 species